UACGUAGGGUGCAAGCGUUAAUCGGAAUUACUGGGCGUAAAGCGUGCGCAGGCGGUGAUGUAAGACAGGUGUGAAAUCCCCGGGCUUAACCUGGGAACUGCAUUUGUGACUGCAUCGCUGGAGUGCGGCAGAGGGGGAUGGAAUUCCGCGUGUAGCAGUGAAAUGCGUAGAUAUCAGGAGGAAUACCGAUGGCGAAGGCAGGUCUCUGGGCUAUAACUGACGCUCAUGCACGAAAGCGUGGGGAGCAAACAGG
rnacentral:rRNA from 1 species